GGCCCGGUGGUCAAGUGGUCAAGACACGGCCCUUUCACGGCUGUAACAGGGGUUCGACUCCCCUCCGGGUCACCA
rnacentral:tRNA from 1 species